GGGUACCCUGAGCUGGGAAGAUGCUGGUCAGAGCGUUGAGCGGGCCUUCCUUGACACGGAAGAGGUCAGAGGUUCAAAUCCUCUAGCGCCCA
rnacentral:tRNA from 1 species